rnacentral:rRNA from 1 species
GACAGAGGGUACAAACGUUGUUCGGAAUUACUGGGCGUAAAGCGAGUGUAGGCGGUGUGGUAAGUCGGAUGUGAAAGCCCCGGGCUCAACCCGGGAAGUGCACUCGAUACUGCCACGCUAGAGUAUCGGAGAGGUUGGUGGAAUUCUCGGUGUAGAGGUGAAAUUCGUAGAUAUCGAGAGGAACACCGGUGGCGAAGGCGGCCAACUGGACGAAUACUGACGCUGAGACUCGAAAGCGUGGGGAGCAAACAGG